AUCCACACUGGGGAGAGGCCCCACAAGUGUGGGGAGUGUGGGAAGAGCUUCACCCAGAGCUCUGCCUUGACCUCCCACCAAUGCACCCACCAGUAAUGGAAGCCCCGAGUGCCCCAACUGCGGGAAGAGCUUCGGCCGCUGCUCCAACUCCAUCAGCCAUCGGAGGAGCCGCGUUGGAUGAUCCACAGGGACCCACGUUGGGCACAGACCUGGUGACCCACAUUCCAGGUGAUCCAAGCUGGGCAGUGUAUUGGGGUCUUGGGGAUAACGUAUUUAAGGAGGAAAAAGUCCUUGUGCAGAUGGAAUUGGGUGCAGAGAAGAGCAGAGUGGGAAUAGGGGAGAGGAACAGCUCUGCAGACCCCCAGGGCAGUGCAGAAGGAGGGGCAGGAGGUGCUCCAGGCCUGGAGCUGAGAUUGCCCUGCAGCCCAAGGAGGAGCCCACGGCGGAGCAGGGGAUGCCCAAAAAGAAGGAUGUGAGCCCGUGGGAAGCCCGUGCUGGAGCAGAGUCCCUGCAGCUGCUGCGGCCCCAGAGAGCUCCAAGGGUCUCACUCAGCACUGCUGGUUAUGGGGCCACACAGAGGGGCUUUAGGCACAGGAAUUGUCCUUCCUGGCCCCAGUUCAGGUCUGUGACUUUCUCUGAAAGGUGGAGAACAAAAAUAGGAUUCCACUUGGGUUGUUCUUCAGGCUGUUC